rnacentral:rRNA from 1 species
UACGUAGGUGGCAAGCGUUGUCCGGAUUUACUGGGCGUAAAGAGCGCGCAGGCGGUCGUUCAAGUCGCGUGUGAAAGCCCCCGGCUCAACUGGGGAGGGUCAUUCGAUACUGAUCGACUCGAAGGCAGGAGAGGGUAGUGGAAUUCCCGGUGUAGUGGUGAAAUGCGUAGAUAUCGGGAGGAACACCAGUGGCGAAGGCGACUACCUGGCCUGUUCUUGACGCUGAGACGCGAAAGCUAGGGGAGCAAACGGG